UAUGUCAACAACAGUAAUCACUCAGUGCCCUGAUCUGGAAGAAGACGAAUGGAUGGAGAUAAAGGGGGAGAUUAACGGCAGGAAAAAGUGAAACGGCCCAGCGUUUUUGCCUGGAAAAGUUUGAUGACUGCUGAGCUAGUAGUAGUGACAAGGCCCCAACACCUCCAUCAACCUGGUCAACACACCAUUUGGAGAUUGCCUAGCUUCUGCACAGAGCUCUCAAGUGUUAUCUGAGCCUGAUGAUAUGCUCAUGCCCAGGCGAAAUUCCCUGACCACCAUGCAAGAUGUGAGACGAAUAAUAAGACAGAAGUACAACAACAUGAGCUACACCAAGCAAGUAAACGAAAAUAAGUCCUAAAUGUCAAAAUGUUAUGUAAAAAUAAAUAUGAAAUAAAAAAUAAAUCAAUCUUAUUUUGAA